rnacentral:tRNA from 1 species
GCCUGCCUGGCUCAGUCAGUAGAGCAUAUGACUCUUGAUCUCACGGUUGUGAGUUCAAGCCUCACACUGGGUA